AGCUUUAUAUUCAAUAAUGAUUUUAAAUUGCAAAUUUAAAGGUGGAUAAUUUCUAAGGCUU
rnacentral:tRNA from 1 species